AAGUGUGAUUUCUUCAAAUUUUAUGUGCUUACUGCCAACUCAAUUAUUGAAAGGUGUGUAAAUUUUAAAGUAAGAUCAAUGGUUCAAUUGAUAGAUAUUAAGGUUCUAAAUUGUACUAGGAUUAGAUUUAGUAUGGUUAUGAUUUGAUUUAGGAUUUGAUUUAGGAUUUUGGAUUUAAUUUAGGAUUUUUUAGGAUUUAUUUAGGAUUUAGGAUUUAUCUAAGAUUUUAUUUAGGAUUUGAUUUAGGAUCAAGGAUUUGAACAAAAGUUUGGUUUAAAAUUUAGUAUUUGUUUAGAAUUUGAUUUAAAAUUUGGUUUAGGGUUUAGGAAUUUUUUA
rnacentral:lncRNA from 1 species